rnacentral:rRNA from 1 species
GACGAACGCUGGCGGCGUGCUUAACACAUGCAAGUCGAACGGACAGACCCUGCUUUUGUGCGGUUCUCGAGUGCCGAACGGGUGAGUAACACGUGAGUAUCAUGCACUUGACUUUGGGAUAUCUUCAGGAAACUGGGGCUCAUAUCGGAUAGAAGCUCCUGCUGCACGUUGUUGAUUGGAAAGUUUCGGCGGCUGUGGAUGGACUCGCGGCUUAUCCGCUUGUUGGUGGGGUAGUGGCUUACCAAGGGUUUGACGGGUAGCCGGCCUGAGAGGGGGACCGGCGUCAUUGGGACUAAGAUACGGCCCAGACGCGUACGGGACGCAGCAGGGGGGAAUAUUGCACAAUGGGCGGAAGCCUGAUGCAGCAAUGCCGCGUGCGGGAUGACGGCCUUCGGGGUGUGAACCGCUGUCGCAGGUGAUGAACCGGGAGUGACGGUAAUGGGUAAAGAAGCACCGGCUAACUACGUG